UGAGGAAUCUUGCACAAUGGGCGAAAGCCUGAUGCAGCGACGCCGCGUGGAGGAUGAAGGCCUUCGGGUUGUAAACUCCUGUCAAACGGGAAGAAAAUCUUAUUUCUAAUAUAGAUAGGAUAUGACGGUACCGUUAAAGGAAGCACCGGCUAACUUCGUGCCAGCAGCCGCGGUAAUACGAAGGGUGCAAGCGUUAUUCGGAUUUAUUGGGCGUAAAGGGUGUGUAGGUGGUAUGUUAAGUCUGUUGUUAAAGACCCUGGCCUAACCGGGGAAGUGCAGCGGAAACUGAUAUGCUAGAGGAUGAGAGAGAGAAGUGGAAUUCUCGGAGUAGCGGUAAAAUGCGUAGAUAUCGAGAGGAACACCGAUGGCGAAGGCAGCUUCUUGGCUCAUUCCUGACACUGAAACACGAAAGCGUGGGGAGCAAACAGG
rnacentral:rRNA from 1 species